CCUACCACGGCUUCCCGCGGGUCGGUCGCCUUGCGUGUGGACUCAGCCCGCUCUGGUCGCUACAGGGCAGGCCCAUAGGGGUCCCAGAAGCUCAACUGGAGCCCAGGGCAGCCAGGACCAGUCCCAGGAAAGUGGACUCAGAGAUCCAGACAGAUGCCAGAAAGACCGGAAGGAGGUGCAGAAAGAACCGCGCGGGCCACAGAGAGGACGCACGGAUGACAAAACUAGAGAUUCAGAGAGACGACAGAAAGAGAGUACAUCAUGUGAAAUGCUGGGCUGGAUGAAGCACAAGCUGGAAUCAA